GCCCAGGGAGAGACCUAUGGAAAAAGAACCACAGCCUUGGCUGAGCUCCCAUCAUCAGCCAGCAUCAGCUUGCCAGUCAUGUGAGGAAGCCGUCUUGAAAGUCCAUCUGGAUGUUAGAAGAGUCACCAUAUUGUGAUGGCAAAGUUAAGAUCAAACACUGGCUGCAGGAGAGAGGACACAAUUCUGUGAGCUGAAAACCAUCCCCAGGAAAGAGAACUGCCCUGCCCACUGAGUGGAAUGUUUGGUGCCCAAGCUCUGUGGUUGAAAGGGAGACUCUGAAAACUGCCUGGGGCACUCAAGUAAUUGGCAAAGACUCAGCUUUCCUAGACUCUCAGCCCUGCCACUUGCCAUGUUCCUCAGGCAUGAGCCUGAAUGUAUCCCUCGUUUUCUGCA